UACGAAGGGGGCUAGCGUUGUUCGGAAUCACUGGGCGUAAAGGGUGCGUAGGCGGGGCUUUAAGUCAGGGGGGAAAUCCUGGAGCUCAACUCCAGAACUGCCUUUGAUACUGAAGAUCUUGAGUUCGGGAGAGGUGAGUGGAACUGCGAGUGUAGAGGUGAAAUUCGUAGAUAUUCGCAAGAACACCAGUGGCGAAGGCGGCUCACUGGCCCGAUACUGACGCUGAGGCACGAAAGCGUGGGGAGCAAACAGG
rnacentral:rRNA from 1 species